AUUGAACGCUGGCGGCAUGCUUUACACAUGCAAGUCGAACGGUAACAGGCCUUCGGGUGCUGACGAGUGGCGAACGGGUGAGUAAUGCAUCGGAACGUGCCCAAUCGUGGGGGAUAACGUAGCGAAAGUUACGCUAAUACCGCAUAAGCCCUGAGGGGGAAAGUGGGGGACCGCAAGGCCUCACGCGAAUGGAGCGGCCGAUGUCAGAUUAGCUAGUUGGUGGGGUAAAGGCCCACCAAGGCGACGAUCUGUAGCGGGUCUGAGAGGAUGAUCCGCCACACUGGAACUGAGACACGGUCCAGACUCCUACGGGAGGCAGCAGUGGGGAAUUUUGGACAAUGGGCGCAAGCCUGAUCCAGCCAUGCCGCGUGAGUGAGAAGG
rnacentral:rRNA from 1 species